rnacentral:tRNA from 1 species
GGAAGGGAGCCGGAUACGGCUGGCCGGGCCUCGGUGCUAACGAGUGAGCCCCGAGAGGGGCGUGGGGGUUCGAAUCCCUCCCCUUCCGC